CAAGAGCUAGCUGCGGAGUCACCAUAUUUUAGUGGUAGAAAAUGUCUGACCUGUAUUUGGGUUCAGUACAUUUCAAAAAUAGAAACAGAUCUAAAUCUAUGGGGUUGUUGAUGAUAUACACAUCCUACCUAGGUGACUACGUCACUGACGUGUCACUUUCUACAGGAGACAGUCAUCAGGCACAGUAGGAUACAGGGUUGGAGGCAGCAAGUUCGGUGGUACAAAUGAGAACGGCAUCUUUGGAACACAGCUUUGAGAAAAGAAGCCAAGACAAAGCAGCAUCUUUUCUUUCCAGAGGUCAAAGAAGUAAGAAGGAUCGGUGUAGAACUUCAGCCCAUCCUUCUUGUCAUCUCUGUGGACCAAAGCAUUAAAAGCCAGGGAAGAAGGAUGGUCAGCGGCCUUCUUUGGGAGCUAACUUGAACAUAAGGAACGGCACACCCACACCUGGCAUGCUGCUGUGAAGUACCACUUCACUGAAGACGGCCACAUCUUAGUGUGGGAAUCAGAGCUCACACUUCUCCUGUUACGAACGCUAGCAAUUCUACAGCCAUUUCACUGGGUAUGAUAUGGCAGUUACUGUUUCCAGAGUGUUCUUUUUCAACCCAAAGGAGCCCUCCAAGGUGGUCCCACCCAGCACAGCAGCACAUUUUAGCUUCUGGAAGCAUCCCUCAACCUCUGCUGGAAAGGCCAUCGGGAAACAGGGAGAGAGGAAUGGAGGUGUACCUGUACGGUGUCAGAAUGCUCAGCGGCGGAGGUUUGUCACUCUGGUUAUAAAUGUCAGCAACAGGGUUGGGAAUGCUGUUCUUGGAAACCACCUGCUGGUCUUGGAUGGUAGAGCUUUUGAAUGCUUUCUUCAUGUUGAUAUCCUGUAGUGAGACUAUUGAGAGACAAGUCCCCCAGGUUGAGUUACAUACAAGACAUUCUCUGUUUAGAAAGAAGCAUCUUUUGACUCAGAAUUAUAAACAUCUGCCAGAAUGACUCAAUAUUGGCUUUUUAAAACAGAGACUUAUUUUGGGGUAUGUGCCUGAAUGUGUUUAUGUGCACAAUGCUGGCAGAGGCCAUACGAGGGCACUGGAUCCCCUGGGACUCAAGUCAUUGUGAGCUACCGGAUGUGGGUGCUGGGAACUGAAUGUGGGUCCUUUGCAAGAACAGCCAGUGCUCUUAACCACUGAGUCAUCUCUCUAGUCCCUGAAAUAAUGGUUUCUGUUGUUCCUUAAAAUACUGCUUAAGCAGAAUGCCCUUCCUCCCUCUAAAAGAUACAUUUUUCUCUAUGACAUGAUGUCACAUCAUAGCUUUGUCUUCUUUUGUAACAAGAGAAUGAUUUCACUGGACCAGGGCACUAUUUUGUUGCUGUUUAAACAGCACCUCUCAGACACCACACACAAUACAGCCCCUGAGGAUGGCAGGCAUGCACACUGAUCUGGAUAUCUUAGGAGAAACCAUUAGUGCCAGGUUCAGUAAGAUGCCUGCCUGCAAAAAACAGUACUAAGAUGUGAGCAGCCUACUAAGCGUCUAUCACAGUGAUGCAGAAAGAGAGGGCUUGAAGCUUUUCCACCUAUGACCCACAAAAUAAGCACCUUGAUCCAGGAAAAUGAAGUUGAGCCAAGUGGGCACCCAGCGGAGCAAAGGAGGGUGAGCCUUCUUCAUUUUUUGAAAUUUUUACAUCGCAUGUAACUCAUCUGACCUUGAUAACUCUUCUAGGUGUCCAC